CCUACGGGUGGCAGCAGUGGGGAAUAUUGGGCAAUGGGCGAAAGCCUGACGCAGCGACGCCGCGUGAGGGAUGAAGGUCUUCGGAUCGUAAACCUCUGUCAGCAGGGAAGAACGGUCACUGUGCUAAUCAGCAGUGAAUUGACGGUACCUGCAAAGGAAGCACCGGCUAACUCCGUGCCAGCAGCCGCGGUAAUACGGAGGGUGCGAGCGUUAACCGGAAUUACUGGGCGUAAAGCGCUCGUAGGCGGUAUGUCAAGUCAAGGGUGAAAUCCCCGCGCUCAACGUGGGAACUGCCUUUGAAACUGGCAAACUGGAGUGUGUGAGAGGAUAGUGGAAUUCCAGGUGUAGGCGUGAAAUGCGUAGAUAUCUGGAGGAACAUCAGUGGCGAAGGCGACUAUCUGGCACAUAACUGACGCUGAGGAGCGAAAGCGUGGGUAGCAAACAGGAUUAGAUACCCUUGUAGUC
rnacentral:rRNA from 1 species